UCGACGAGAACACCGAAAAAACCUAAUUCAGCUCUACGUAAGAUAGCAAAAGUACGGUUGAGCAAUCGACAUGAUAUAUUUGCUCACAUUCCAGGCGAAGGUCAUAAUUCGCAGGAACAUGCUAUAGUCUUAGUCAGAGGAGGUAGAGUGAAAGAUUCGCCAGGUGUGAAAUCCCAUCUCGAUAAGCCAAUCCCAUAUCGAGAUGAUAUAUUUGCUCACGUUCCAGGCGAAGGUCAUAAUUCGCAGGAACAUGCUAUAUUUUGUGGGUUGAAGGGAUUGGGAUUGGCUUAUCGAGAUGUGCGUGUAUCUCAUAUCGUUCUAGUGACUCCGCUUUCCUAA
rnacentral:rRNA from 1 species